UGCUACACUGAAGAAGCCCCAGCUCCUCUCCAAACGAGUCUGAAUACUGAUUCAAGGCUUAACUCCAGGCAAUCCCCACAACAACUCAGAAGCCGUCCCUGAUGAUUUUCCCUCUGUAAGACCAUGGGAGCACCAGAGCCAAUGCGAACCUCCCUGUGGAGUUCAGUGAAAACUGGCAACUUUGCACAUCCAGGACUCUGCACUCCCCUGACUGUAUAACUCACCCUGCACACCACAAGGCCGUGCCUUUAACAGGUGACCCAUUAAUACGGAGCUGCCUGUGAGAUAGAGAGGGAGAGUGACCCAUCAAUACUGAGCUGUCCUGUGAGACGGAGAGGGAGAGUGACCAAUCAGUACUGAGCUGUCCUGUGAGACGGAGAAGGAGUGACCCAUCAAUAUGGAGCUGUCCUGUGAGACAGAGAGGGUAUAUUUACCAUCAGCGGAGCUCGUCAGUGGAGAGAAAAUUACUGCCAGUAAAACUUGUAACAGAUUGCUUCACCCAGAGUACACACUGGGAUUGGAAGCCUUCGGAGUGAUAAGUAAUAACAAUGAUUUAGUGUUUUCCUUUUUCUUGGCUGGCUUGUGGUUGUUUUCAUGAAUAUUUUCACUGUGAAAAUAAGUUUGUUUGUGUUGUGGAAAUAAUUUAAAAAGCGUGUGAGGAAUUUAAAACAUACAAAAAUAAAC